rnacentral:misc_RNA from 1 species
CGCACAUUGCGCCCCUUGGUAUUCCGAGGGGCAUGCCUGUUCGAGCGUCAUUACAACCCUCAAGCACUGCUUGGUAUUGGGCCCCGCUGCUUAACGCCGCGGGCCUUAAAAUCAGUGGCGGCGCCGCUGGGCUCUGAGCGUAGUAAAUUUCCUCGCUACGGAGACCUGGCGGUGGUAGCCAUCAACCCCCAACUUUCUAAGUUUGACCUCGGAUCAGGUAGGGAUACCCGCUGAACUUAA